AUGUUGCCUCAAUCCGAAGGAAAUUAUGCGGAAGCUUUGCAAAAUUAUUAUGAAGCUACGCGACUAGAAAUCGAUCCCUAUGAUCGAAAUUAUAUACUCUAUAACAUAGGCCUUAUACACACAAGCAAUGGAGAACAUACAAAGGCUUUGGAAUAUUAUUUCCGGGCACUAGAACGAAACCCCUUCUUACCGCAAGCUUUUAAUAAUAUGGCCGUGAUCUGUCAUUACGCGCGACUAUCUCCACUAUAG
rnacentral:rRNA from 1 species